UUUCUCCUCCAAUGAAUGCUUGCCGCGCUCCAAAAUGUCCUGAAAGCGUAAGCAGUCGUUCGGCUGAUCCAGCAGUGUAGCCAUAACGGACAUCGUUUGCAGGGCAGCAAGCCACAAGCCAGCACAAUAGGCGCUUAAAAGCCUAAAAAUCUCUUCCACCCACCUUGGAUCAUCAUAGUUCAACUCCUUGCCGAAUGAUGAAUUACAAGUCAACCAAAUUGUGCCACCAUCCGAUAUGAAGUAGAGCUGAUUGAAGAUUGCGCUUUUAUACCAAUCUGUAACUCACUCAUCAUUGAGUAUCGGACGCUGCCAGGCAUCAAUCAAUUUCUCCCAACUGCUGUAGUGUUUCAAUGCAUACUCGCAUAUCUUGGGACCAGCUUCACCGGAAGCAUCGAAAUAUUUGGUGUAGUAACGUGUGUAAGACUUGAGUUUCUUGGGAAAAUGUAUAUGUGGCAUAUCCCAGGCUAAUACGAAUUCUAAAUCAUGACUAGAGUUUGGUUUGACAGCCACCUGUGCGCAUAAAGCAACACCGAGAUCCUUAGCUGGAAUGUUUUAUUAAUGUUUGAGAUAUUCAAAAUAUAUAUAAUUAGGUUAGAGAUUAAUUUAAGUGAUUAAGCGCCUAAAAAUAUGUUAAAUAAUUUUGAAAAAUACUGUUUCACCUUUUUUGGAUUAGUAUGCAAUAUGAAAAUGACUUAAAAUGAAAUGAAUGUAGCGUAUUCAUAAAUAUACUAGUACUAGGGUUGCCACACAUUUUUUUAAAUAUAAUGUUUUUCUAAGAAAAUUAUUUUUAUAGAUGUUUUUUGAAAAAUAUUUCUGUAACACAAAGUUUUCAAAAUAUCCGAAUUUUUUAAGGCUAAUUUUACAACUUUAAGAACUUGACAUAACCUAACCUAACUUAAUUUUAGACUGGAAAUUAUAAAAUUUUCAUUAAAAAAUUAUUUAAAAAAUAUACUCGAAAAUCACUUUUUACAACAACACCAUACUCACUUUUCAACACCUCAUCGCAAUGCUUCUCACUCAGCUGCCCAUUCUCCUUCAACUCGGACCAUAGUUGCUCUCCCGUGCCGUACGGAUCGAACUGCGUGCAGCGUGUAAUACUGAUUUCGGGCAAAACACGACAACCCAAAUUGUAUGCGCAUGGCAUGCCAGCGAUCUUCUGUCGUAUGCCGACACCCUUCACAUUGCCCUCUGUGAUGAGUAUCGCCUCAGCGCCGCCCUCGGCGUCCUGCUUCUUGGUGCCAGUGCCAUUCUUGAAGGUGAACGUUAUGGAGACCUUACGCUCCUCCGCGCAAACAUUCUCCACAGACCACACGAAGACGGCGCAAGGUAGACACGAAUCCUUGUAGUCGUGCGGUAUGACCGGUGAAAUUUGACGACAAAUCAGUCGCACGCCGUACGCAGUCAGAUCAUAUUCAGUCCAGGCGCGCGGAUACAGACCCGUAUACGAGCAUUUCGAGUCGUCGAUAUUCGAGUGCCACGCGUUUAAGGGCUGCUUGGAGCGACUGCUGCAAUUGGGCAUAGUACAUUGAGAGUUGGCGCUGUCAGUGGGACUGCACGUGUGCAACGGAACGGUUGGAUGUGGGAGCGGAGAGGAUUGGAGGUUGUGGCGACACGUUUUUGUUUUUUUUUUUUGUUGUUUUGUUUGAUGGUAAAUGACGAUUUUGCGUGGUGCAGAGAUGAGAGGAGGAGAGAUGAAUGAUAAAAUUUGCAUGAGUGUGCGACGAAUUUAUAUGAUGAUUGCAUAAAUAAUAAUUAUAAAAAUUCGCAUAAAAUAAUUGUGUAAAAAAUUUGUGUGUUUUUCGAAAUUUUCCGUUACCGCCGAUUUUGAAAUUUUCAAUUUUUUCCCAAUUUUUGUUUUGUUUUUUGUUUUGCAUAAAAGUGCACAAGUGUAUUGUUGGUGAUGGUGUCAGCAUAGUGUUCCAGACAGUGUUUCACAGUUCGAAUAGCAGUUAUAUGUGCAUGUAAGCGCGUUCACAUAAACAUUUUUUACGUGUUUUUGUUUUUUUUUUGCAUAAAAUAUAAAAAGAGACAAAAUUUGGUAUACAAUAAAAUUAAAGCAAAUAAGAAUACAUUUGCAAAAAAGAUUUGUAAUAUUUUUUUUCCAAAUUAAAUUUUUAUUUUGUAGCAGUUACAUAACAAACAUAACAAAAUAACACAACAAACACAUAUCGUCAUUAAGAAAUAAUACAAAAUUACCAACAAAAUAAAUUUGUGCAAGCAUACAAAUACAAUUUUAAGAAUAGCUCCGUAAUCAUAUGGGAAAUAUUUACUAAAUUUAAAUUUUUUACUUCAACACGACCCAAUAAUUAUUCUGCUCUAAUAUUAAAUCAGCUGAUAAAUCUUAUAAUGUAUAAUUUUUUUUUUUUAAUUGGUCUAAAAAUUAUCGACUAUUAUAGCUAUUAUUCUCACUAAUUAUACCAUAUAGCUUAUGAAUUUGUGUAAAGAAAGAGAGCUUUAUAAGAACCAAAUGGCGUCAGUAAUAGCCGUUAAAAAGAAAGCAUCGCUAAGGACUUCUGGAAGGAUUAUGCAUGACUUCUGGAUUCUGAACAGAUUUUUACAAUACGUCAAAUACUAUCGACAAGCAGAUCACAUUUUUGCCGACUUCAAAUCCGCUUUCGAUAGCACUGACAGAAGCUGUCUAUGUCAAUAGGGAUAACAUGUCUACAUUUGGUAUCCCUGCAAAAAUCAUAGGGUUAUGUAGAAUGACGUUAAGCACAAUUAUUAUAUAUAUUUGGCGUAGGAACCGUUUUAAGGGGGGAGCCUUCAUCAGGGGCUUCAAAAAAUCGAUUUUUGCGUAAAUCACUUCCUAAACUAUCCAAGAAUAUGUCUACAAAAUUUCAGAACAAAAUUCGAAUUAUUUCCGGAGAUACAGACGAAAUAGUGAGCAAGCGUCGAGCAGGUAUACGAGCGGCCGGACCGCCUGGAGCCCGCUUUAUAAAAGAGAAAGAUGGCGAUCAUAUAUAUCAUAUAUCUAUUAUGUAUAUUAUAAUAAAAAGGGACUAACGGUCCUUCGAGACAGCUUAACUGUCUAUUUUUUGAAGAGUCCGAAGGACAGUUAUAAGGAGCAGGAAUCGCUGAUUAGCAUAUUAAUAGGAUGAAAAUUGCGACCUGCAUCUUGCCCGCCACACAGAAAUUGCACACUCGAGGCGCUUCCGUAAAUUUCUUCAAACAUGAAGAAUAUCUAAUGUAUAAUAAUAAAAAAAAUUGAGAAUACUCUUCAAAUAAAGUUUCAUUUCAAUCAGACAUUUCUUUCCUUUCCAAAAAAAAUCCUUGAAAAUAUAGAUUUUUUGAAGCCUCUAAAACAGGCUCCCCCCUUAAGCGAUUAUAGCCGAAUCCACCAGAGCGCGCCACCCGUUUCUCCUUUUUUGCUUUUUGGCGCCAACUGGAAACACCAAGUGAAGCCAGGUCACCUUCCACUUGAUCCUUCCAUCGGAGUGGAGGUGGUCCUCUUCCGCGGCUUCCUCGAGCGGGUACUGCAUCGAACACUUUCAGAGCUGGAGUGUUUUCAUCCAUCCUUACAACAUGACCCAGCCAGCGUAGCCGCUGUCGUUUUAUUCGCUGAACUAUGUCAAUGUCGUCGUAUAACUCGUACAGCUCAUCGUUCCAUCGUCUGUGGUCGUCAUCGUUCACUCUUAAGCGCUAUACAUCAGGACGGGAAUAAUGAGCGACUUAUAGAGUUUGAUUUUGGUUCGUCGAGAGCUCCAACAAAAUGAGACCUCUUCGAGCCGUUCGAUACCAGUUUCGUUAGUUUCGUCAAACAAAAACUAGGCUCUAUAAGUCUCCCAUCAUUCCCGUCCUAUUAUAGGACGCAAAAACAUGGACGAGAACAAUCCGAGAUUAGAAGGUACUUGAAACAUUCGAGAGAACUGCUCUCCGCAAGAUCUUUGGAGUCGCCCGCAUGAGCGAGGAGUACCGAAGAAGAUGGAACCAUGAACUGUAUGAGAUCUACGACGACAUGGAUAUAGUUAAGCGUAUAAAAAUCUAACGAAUGCGCUGAUUAGGCUAUGUCGUUCGUAUGGAAGAAGAUGAUUCAGUGAUUCGGAACCCAUUGGUGAACAACGGAAGCAGGGACAACCACGCAUCCAAUGGAAGGGCCAAAUGCGUAAGGACUUGUCUGCAUUUGGGAUGUACAAUUGGCGUGUUUUCGCAAAGGAUAGAGGUAAAUGGUGAAGUUUUGUGUUCGUGGCCCAGACCGACCUACGGUUGUAAUGCCGAAUAAGAAGAAGUAGAAGAAAGACUUUUGAAGGAGAAAAGAUAAUGAUAAUGAAACCUUGGAUAUUUCGAAGAGUUACAAUUCUACGAAGGAUUCUAGAGGCAUAUAUCUGACGAAAUGAGUUGCAGUUGAAGAAACAAACGGAAAAUUAAAUUAAAAUCUUAGCACAAUCAGCUAUGGCGGCCUCGAAAAACUUACUCAGAGUUCACAAUUUCGAUACUCUAAAUUGUAGUCUUAAAUUUAUGCAUGGAUAUACCAAGGCGUGUAUAUAAAACCGUAUAAUUUUUGUGCAUUUGUAUAUUGUUAUUUGUCCGAUUGCAAGUAAACAUUGCAUUUGUUGAGUUGCAAGACCUCAAAGCGUUAAUUGAGUGACCAAGUUUUUAUAGCUGUUAGGUGUGCCAAUCCAUAUACACAAUCAUAUGUGUAUACAUUCAUGGUUUACCUAUGAAUUUAUGUGCACUUCCAUCAGUGAAAAUGUUGUAAAAUUUUGUUAGUGCCGGCACGUUUAUUAUAGUGGAAACUUUUAUUUGUCUUGGCAGGGCGUGUUACCGAAUUUAUGUUAGUUACUUAUCAACAUAUGCAAGUAUGUUGUGUAUAUAUAUAUAUAUAUAUAUAUUAUAGUAUAUACAUAUGUACUCGCAUGUUUUUCAUUUGAGAAAUUAGUAAGCCAAAUGUUAUUUUUAGGCAAACAGCAUUUCUUGAAAUUAUAUUCAAUGACAUUUAGCCUCGAAAGUUUAAAAAGCAUUGAACAUUGUUCCCACAAAUACCGAUAAUCCCAGGGCAGGCAAACAAAAAUUUGUCGCAUAGCAUUAAGACACAGUUAGGGAAAUUUUACUCAGGAGUAUUGCAUCUUCAUCUUUUAGAUAAAAUUCAGUAAUGUUGAUAAAUAGGCUUACAGGUAAUAUUAGUCAUGCACCCAAAAUAACAUUAAGGGGUUACAGGGGUUUUGUCGGGUAAAAAAGGCCUAUUUUCAAUAAUCUUUUCUAUGUAAGAAAUUACUAAAUUAAUUCAAACUUUUUUCUGUCUUAUAGAUACAUAUUUAAAGAAUAAUUUCUGAAAUUAAAAAAAAAAACUCAUCCAUUGUUACGUCAUUUCCGGUGACCCCUAGGAAAAAUGGAACGUCCGCGUUGUCAGCAUAACUACUGACAGGAUCAUCAAAAAAAAAAAAAUAAAAUAAGUGUUUUAGGUAAGACCUUGCUUGCUUUCGUGCUUGACUGAAGGAAAGAAAAAAAAGUAAAAACUGGAAUAUUUGCAGAUAUUUUUCCAAAAAAAUAAAAAUGUCGGUCAAAUUUGCUCGACAUUUUUUUAAUAGUUGUAAUUGAAAGAAAAAAAUCCUUCGUUCAAGCAUGAGUAAAUUGUAUCUCGAACACCUAUGCAAGUUUUAAGGGGUUAUAUACAGUUAGACGGCCGAAAAAAAGUGAAUUUUCCAGAAUUUUUUCUGAGAAAACUUUUUAAUUUAUUGAUCCAAAUAUUCAUACACAUAUUAUGGUAUCUUUUAAAUGUAUUUUAAGACUUAGUACUAGUAAAAAUAUUUAUUUGAAAAAGAGCUACAGCUGAUCUGCAGGAGCUCCUCUCAAAAAAGACGUUUUGCGGUGACCACUAUAUCUCGGAACUGGAUCAUCCGAAAUUAAAAAACCAAACAGAUUUCGUUAAAAUAAUGUUAAAUCUAGUAAUUAAUCGUAGGAAUAAGCAAAAUAAAAUUUUUUGAAAAAUGGCGUUUUCUCAAAAAAAAAAAAUCGAUUCUUCACCGAAAUUUCGGCCUAAAAUCGUUUAUAAAAAAAAUAUUUAUCGGAGAGAAAAAAUCUUCGAUUGAUUACUAAAAAAUAUAUUUAAGAAAGUCGUGUUAAAUUUUGAGACUAAUCGGUCUAGCCGUUUUCGAGUAAUGUUGGUCACCGACUUUGAAAACACCAUUUUGAGAAAAACGCGCUGCCGCUCGGACCUUGUACUUCCAAGCGCUCUGAAACGCCUUUUCAAAUUUGCUUGUAACUUUGAAAAUAUUCACCGGAACGAUAUAAAAUUUUCUGUGUGUAUUCUUAAAUAUAUGUACAUUAAGAAAAUGAAAUAAAAAAAUCGAUUUUUUGAUAAUUCUAACUGUAUAUAACCCCUUAAGUAACAAUAAUAUAACACUUGACUUGCACCGCACACUUCCUAAGUAUCCUCGAAACUAUUAUUCGGAUCGACUUGAAAAUGUGGAUAAUAUUCUUGAGAUGUUGUAGAAAUUAAUAAGCCAAAAAAACAAAACACAAAAAAUCGAUUUUUGAAGCCACGAAACUCCUUAAUUAAUCGCUUACUAUUCCGGCUAAUAUUUGGUAGGAAAUGUAGUUAGGUUUAAGUGAAAAUAAAAUGAAAAACUUUUCUAUGAUUUAAUAUGUUGUGAUAAAUAUUAAAAAAUCUCAUAAUGGGAAAUACUUCAUAGCCUUUUCGCACAGCCAAAUUAACUUAGUACAUAUUUGAGAAACCAGUUUUUGCCUUUCUCACAGCCCGAUCAGUCUCGAUCAACGAUCAAUUGUUAUAGAAUUUUUUCUGUUCAUAAGAACUUGAUAAAAUGAAAAAAAAUAGGCAAUUGAAUGCGUUUUUUCUUGAAUACAUUAAUAAUAUUCAACUGUUGGUGAAAUCUGUUGGCUUCAUUUAAACAAAUACGAAACUUUUUUAAGACAACAUCUACAUAUUUCUUAUGGGGUAAUUGCAGAGAACUGCUACUCAAAAAUCCUUGUGUUAGAUGGUAAGUCUAAUUGGGCUUUUGUCAUUCUACAAAUAACACCAGUUUAAUUCUAAAAUCGGUAAACUUAUUUCUGAAAGGUUACUCGUAAUUGCAUUUUUAUUUGUUCUAAUUCUAUUAAAAAUCAUCAGCUGAUUGAUAUUUUAUCAAUAACACUGCCAAAUUUACAGCGUAGCCAACAAACCGCA